rnacentral:tRNA from 1 species
GGCAGUGUAGCUCAGUUGGUAGAGCAGCGGGGUCAUAAUCCGCUUGUCGGGGGUUCGAGUCCCUCCGCUGCUA